rnacentral:lncRNA from 1 species
GUAGUUUUCAAAAUCCAUUUUUAACAAUUCACCGACUCUGGGCAAAGAAUCCCCACUAAAGCAUCACAGAUUGGGACUGGAGAGGAACUCAGAGGUGGUUUAGCCCGAGCCCUUCGAUUUAUCGACAAGGAAACUGAGGCAAGAGAGGUGAUCGACUCUGCCCAGCAUCACGGGGGCAGGGAUAAAGGUGGGGCUUGGGCCCUUGUCCCAUCAUCCAAAGCGAGCACUUCCCCAGCUUCUGGUAUCCACCAUCAAGCUGUGAGCUCCUGGGUUCAGGACUCCUUUUCUUCCCUUAUACCCCCAGGCUCACCGCCAUGCCCAGCAGACACUUAAUUGGUGCUCGAUUUGCCUCUUAAGUUCUAAGAUUCCAUCUAGUCCUGAUGUUCCAUGAGUCCACAAAUACACACGCUGGGGAUGGUGGGAUUUCCGGGCCCAGAAAGGGUUUGGGGAACCGAAUGGGCCCCUCAGAAGGGCCGGGCGCUUCCUCUGUGGCCCUUCCCCCCACUUUAGUUGGCUAUGGCCUCCCCACUGCCGUGCAAACAAGGUUGGCUCCCUUCAUUGCCUGGGACUUAUUCCAGAAAAAAGAAGGCUGCCAUUGUUGGCCUUUCCCCCCUCUCCACUCCAUUGCCUUCUUGAUGGCUCUCAGAAACCUUUUUGGCUGUGGGUGACCCCCGGGCCAUGUCCUGGGGGUGGGAGUGGAGAGGACAGAGUCACAUUGUCUACCCAAGGUGCUCAUCUUGGCAUUCAAGGCUUCCCACAGUCUUCUGUCUAGAACUGUGUCCUUCAUCGCCAGGUCUUCCUCCCCACAAGGGAGAGCUUAGGUGGGGGUGUGGGGCUGGGGGUGUGGAGAAGGGCGGCCUGUUUCGCAUAGCCAAAUCUGUCUCAUUCUUCAAGACCCAGCUCAAGGACCAUCUUUUCCAGGAAGUCCUCCCAGACUGCUCUGGGCCACGCCAACCUAGUCUCCUGAAGUGUUUCAUUAGCUUUCGGUAGCCAUAGAUUCUUAGCCCGAGAAGGGGCCUUAGAUGUAACCCAGGGGAGGAAACCCAGAGCCAAACUGCCCUGUUGAGGGUCUGGCUGGCCUGGGGUCAGAGGCAGCAAUAAAGACCUUCCUGACCAAACCCACUCACUUCUGUCUACCCCUAGUUCUCCAUCUCUAGGCAGUGAGAGGGUGCUGUGGAUGGAAUCAAACAGACUCGUCUUUAUGAGUUCAAGACCUCAGACCCUCACUGACUGUGUGACUCUGAGCAAGCCUUUUUUUUUUUUUUUGGGUUGAAGCAAUUGGGGUUAAGUGACUUGCCCAGGGUCACACAGCCAGGAAGUGUUGGAUUUGAACUCAGAUCCUCCUGACUUCAGGGCUGGUGCUCUACCCACUGCACCACCCAGCCACCCCGGCAAGCCUCAUUUUGACUCAGUUUCCUCCCCUGUCAGAGCUACAGAAGGAAAUGGCAAAGCCAUCCGGUAUCUUUGCUAAGAAAACCGCUGCCCAAGGGGUCAUGAAGAUGUGGACCUGACUGAAUCACAAAAACUGCCCUAUGUGAAGGUGAAAUUGCCCCCUUGGCAGCUCCCUUCCCCAGUGCCGGUGGCUAGCUCUGUUCUCAGGGCUGAUCCUGCUUGCACUCUUCAGCCCCUGGGAUACUUUUAGGCGGGAAUCAGCACGGAGAAGUGGCCCGGCGCAGGGGAGAGAGCCAGAGCCGGCCUUCGGCCAGGAAGGCUUCCGACACUCUCUGCUCUGAGACCCUGGCUAGGCCACUUAACUCCUUAGGACUCCAAUCCGUGCGGCAGGGAGCUUCCUCCCCGGGGACUGCCCAGACUCAGGAUCCGCGCUCUCCUCCCCACGACAACCAUUCCCCAGUCCCUCAGGGUCAACUCGCGAGACUUGGGUUGAGUCCCUUCCCCGUCCUGGCUGCCCUCCGGUUUUUGGGGCGCAGGGCCCAGGCCCGAGCACAGCACGGCCGACUGGGGUUUGGCCGGGGAAAAGCCCCAGGACCGUCACCCACAAAGUCCUGGUCACCGCGCUCCCUUCCAAGCCUGGACUGGCUGUCGCCUCUCACACCGUUGCCUCAUGUUAAUCUUGUGGUCUACUCAAACCCCCAGAUCUUUUUCAGUCAAAGAAAACUGUGGACUAGCAACACUUGUGUCUCGCUUUUGGUACUUUUGAGACUCCAGUCUGAGACUUGCCAUGCGCGCUCAUUCAGUUACACUGAGGAAACCUUCCUGGCAAGGAUACCAGAGUCCGCCGUUUCCUCCUCUGGCUCGUUUUACAGGGAAAGAAACUGAGGCAGGCGGGGUUAAGUGACUUGCUCGAGAUCACCAGCCAGCACGAGUCUGCUCAGAUGAGUGCUCCCCAUCCCAGGCCGGAGGCUCCGGGACCAACGGGGCCACCUAGCGGCCGGGACUAAAUCUUGGCGGAUCUGGCCCGGCCAAAUCCCGAGAGAGCCCGACUCUACAAUCCACUUCCAUCCCUUGUAGCUUUGUAACGUUUUCACAUUCGAUAAAGACGCCUUUAUACAAGUUAAGGAUUAAACUGUUAAAUCCAGAGGAGUCAUGGCGGAGAGGGCAGAGAACCGACUUCAGCCUUAAGAAGCCUCAGCUCCGGCUCUCCCUGGGACAUAUCGGCUCUCCCUCUCUCUCCUCUCUCCCUCUCCCUCCCUCUCUCUUUCCCAACCCCCUCCAUUUUCUCUUUCUCUCUGUCUCCUCCUCCUCCUUCUCCUUCUUUUUCUCCUCUUCUCCUUUUCCUCCUCCUUCUUUUUCUGCUGCUUCUUCUUGUCUUCCUCUUCCUCCUCCUUCUUCUUCUUCUUCUUCUUCUUCUUCUUUUCCUCUUCCUCCUCCUCUUCUCCUUUUCCUCCUUCUUUUUCUG